GGAAUGCGCAGUUUCGUGACGCAGCAUUAUUGCGUGACUCUAGGGCUGACCCAGUUUUUCACUUUCUAAUUGUAAGGAAGUGCGCUAGUAGUCCACCGAGGAUCCUCGAGAAAUGGAGCAAGAGCCACAAAAUGGAGAACCUGCUGAAAUUAAGAUCAUCAGAGAAGCAUAUAAGAAGGCCUUUUUAUUUGUUAACAAAGGUCUGAAUACAGAUGAAUUAGGUCAGAAGGAAGAAGCAAAGAACUACUAUAAGCAAGGAAUAGGACACCUGCUCAGAGGGAUCAGCAUUUCAUCAAAAGAGUCUGAACACACAGGUCCUGGGUGGGAAUCUGCUAGACAGAUGCAACAGAAAAUGAAAGAAA
rnacentral:lncRNA from 1 species